UCCGGUAUGGUGUAACGGUCAACAUUGGUGCUUUUCAUGGUCUCUAGUAAUGCGCUCGCACUAGCUCGGGGUUCGACUCCCCGUACCGGAA